rnacentral:rRNA from 1 species
UUACCAGGGAAUGAUUCAUGACUGGGGUGAAGUCGUAACACGGCAGCCGUAGGGGAACCUGCGGCUGGAUCACCUCCUU